UCGAAGAGUACGUACGUUAUUUUCACGUCCUACCAAUUUCGCACAAAAUAUAUUCGAUUAAUACAUUUUAUCUUGUACGUAGAUAAAGGAAAUGUGCAUUAGAUUGUACUUUUUAUUACUAAAUAUAUUUUCAGCCUUCAAAGUGUUUUAAAUAAAGUGUAAAAUUGAUUGUCGGUCAUCGUGGCAUUCGAUGCGUUAAUUACGUUCAACACUCGAUAACAUAUAGACAUCGUUAUUAUUCGCAAUCACUUGUUGAAGAUUCAUCGAUCACUUGGAGGAGACAAAAAGACAAGUUAAUCGCUGACCAGGCAUUGUGGAUGUCGUAGUUCUUGUCGGAGCUGCCAUUCGCGUAUUUACCAAUCACAUCAGCGAAGUCGAGGAUCGUAGGUCGUGGACCCUUUGGUCGACUAAACAUCGGAAUGUCUUUGUUGGGAUGCCUCAGCAUGUUAGGAAGGUCCUCAUUCCAGAAUUGCAUCUCAGCGGAACGAUAGUGAGAGCCGAGCUUUGGUGGUAUAGCUGCAACGAAAGAAUUUCAUCCCGUGGUCAACGAAGACUUCUUGGUGACUCUACGUAUAUAUCUAUACGUGCACAGGUAUAUAUGUACAUGUAUGUUUAUUCUCCAACGUAGCAUACUUACUUAAAUUAAAAUAAGUUUGAUUUCUCGGGUUGUAUUCCAACCAGUCAAGCUCGUACUGUCCCCAUUCUUUUAAUCCGUCGGUCAAAUAUGGAUAUCUCUUGGCUGCGUUCGGGUUUCUAUUUUACGAAUGUAUACAGAAAUAAAAUUUUCUCUUAAUUAA